rnacentral:rRNA from 1 species
AGAGUUUGAUCAUGGCUCAGGAUGAACGCUAGCUACAGGCUUAACACAUGCAAGUCGAGGGGAAACGAUAUUGGAAGCUUGCUUCCGAUAGGCGUCGACCGGCGCACGGGUGAGUAACGCGUAUCCAACCUGCCCAUCACUUGGGAAUAACCUUGCGAAAGUAAGACUAAUGCCCAAUGACAUUUAUAGAAGGCAUCUGAAAUGAAUUAAAGAUUUAUCGGUGAUGGAUGGGGAUGCGUCUGAUUAGCUUGUUGGCGGGGUAACGGCCCACCAAGGCGACGAUCAGUAGGGGUUCUGAGAGGAAGGUCCCCCACAUUGGAACUGAGACACGGUCCAAACUCCUACGGGAGGCAGCAGUGAGGAAUAUUGGUCAAUGGGCGAGAGCCUGAACCAGCCAAGUAGCGUGCAGGAUGACGGCCCUAUGGGUUGUAAACUGCUUUUAUAGGGGAAUAAAGUGAGCCACGUGUGGUUUUUUGCAUGUACCCUAUGAAUAAGGACCGGCUAAUUCCGUGCCAGCAGCCGCGGUAAUACGGAAGGUCCGGGCGUUAUCCGGAUUUAUUGGGUUUAAAGGGAGCGUAGGCCGGAGAUUAAGCGUGUUGUGAAAUGUAGAUGCUCAACAUCUGCACUGCAGCGCGAACUGGUUUCCUUGAGUACGCAUAAAGUGGGCGGAAUUCGUGGUGUAGCGGUGAAAUGCUUAGAUAUCACGAAGAACUCCGAUUGCGAAGGCAGCUCACUGGGGCGCAACUGACGCUGAAGCUCGAAAGCGCGGGUAUCGAACAGGAUUAGAUACCCUGGUAGUCCGCGCGGUAAACGAUGGAUGCCCGCUGUUGGGCCAACUGGUUCAGCGGCCAAGCGAAAGCAUUAAGCAUCCCACCUGGGGAGUACGCCGGCAACGGUGAAACUCAAAGGAAUUGACGGGGGCCCGCACGAGCGGAGGAACAUGUGGUUUAAUUCGAUGAUACGCGAGGAACCUUACCCGGGCUUGAAUUGCAGAGGAAGGAUUUGGAGACAAUGACGCCCUUCGGGGCCUCUGUGAAGGUGCUGCAUGGUUGUCGUCAGCUCGUGCCGUGAGGUGUCGGCUUAAGUGCCAUAACGAGCGCAACCCCUCUCCAUAGUUGCCAUCAGGUGAAGCUGGGCACUCUGUGGACACUGCCACCGUAAGGUGCGAGGAAGGUGGGGAUGACGUCAAAUCAGCACGGCCCUUACGUCCGGGGCUACACACGUG